AGCGGCCAUACCAUGCUGAAUAUACCGGUUCUCGUUAGAUCGCAUCAUCGGGCGCGGUCAGUACUUGGGUGGGUGACCACCUGGGAACACCGCGUGCUGUU